rnacentral:rRNA from 1 species
AAAAUGAGAGCUUCGGCAGGAUUUUUAUUUAUCUUAGUGGCGGACGGGUGAGUAACGUGUGGGCAACCUGCCCUAUACUGGGGAAUAAUCACUGGAAACGGUGACUAAUACCGCAUGUCAUUACGGAAGGGCAUCCUUCUGUAAGAAAAGGAGUAAUUCGGUAUAGGAUGGGCCCGCAUCUGAUUAGCUAGUUGGUGAGAUAACAGCCCACCAAGGCGACGAUCAGUAGCCGACCUGAGAGGGUGAUCGGCCACAUUGGGACUGAGACACGGCCCAAACUCCUACGGGAGGCAGCAGUGGGGAAUAUUGCACAAUGGGGGAAACCCUGAUGCAGCAACGCCGCGUGAAGGAAGAAGGUUUUCGGAUCGUAAACUUCUAUCAACAGGGACGAAGAAAGUGACGGUACCUGAAUAAGAAGCCCCGGCUAACUACGUGCCAGCAGCCGCGGUAAUACGUAGGGGGCAAGCGUUAUCCGGAAUUACUGGGCGUAAAGGGAGCGUAGGCGGCACGCCAAGCCAGAUGUGAAAGCCCGAGGCUUAACCUCGCGGAUUGCAUUUGGAACUGGCGAGCUAGAGUACAGGAGAGGAAAGCGGAAUUCCUAGUGUAGCGGUGAAAUGCGUAGAUAUUAGGAAGAACACCAGUGGCGAAGGCGGCUUUCUGGACUGAAACUGACGCUGAGGCUCGAAAGCGUGNGGAGCAAACAGGAUUAGAUACCCUGGNAGUCCACGCCGU